CUCUUGUGCCUUCACAUUUGUAGGAUUUCUGUAUUCAUGGGUAAUCUUAACUUUGCUUGUGACUUUAACAAAACUUGUAAAAUAGACUAGACCUUGUACUUGUGAAUGUAUGUGUGGUCACUAUCCUUGGUCUUCAUGUGUUCUUAGAUGCUCUAAAUAUGAAGCAAGUC